AUCUAGCUGACCAGUCCCAAAUAGGACGAAACGCUCUUGCUGGAU
rnacentral:hammerhead_ribozyme from 1 species